rnacentral:rRNA from 1 species
CAACCUUUGACAUGUCCCGUAUGGGUACCAGAGAUGGAACCCUUCAGUUCGGCUGGCGGGAACACAGGUGCUGCAUGGCUGUCGUCAGCUCGUGUCGUGAGAUGUUGGGUUAAGUCCCGCAACGAGCGCAACCCUCGCCCUUAGUUGCCAUCAUUCAGUUGGGCACUCUAAGGGGACUGCCGGUGAUAAGCCGCGAGGAAGGUGGGGAUGACGUCAAGUCCUCAUGGCCCUUACAGGUUGGGCUACACACGUGCUACAAUGGCGGUGACAGUGGGAUGCAAUGGAGCAAUCCUGCGCAAAUCUCAAAAAGCCGUCUCAGUUCGGAUUGCACUCUGCAACUCGAGUGCAUGAAGUUGGAAUCGCUAGUAAUCGCAGAUCAGCACGCUGCGGUGAAUACGUUCCC